GUUGACCUCGAAUCAGGUAGGGAUACCCGCUGAACUUAAGCAUAUCAAUAAGCGGAGGAAAAGAAACCAACAGGGAUUGCCUCAGUAACUGCGAGUGAAGCGGCAAAAGCUCAAAUUUGAAAUCUAGUACCUUUGGGUGCUCGAGUUGUAAUUUGGAGAGGCAACUUCGGAGGAGGCGCUGGCCUAAGUUCCUUGGAACAGGACGUCACAGAGGGUGAGAAUCCCGUGCUUGGCUGGCUGUCCUCCUUCAUGUGAAGUGUCUUCGACGAGUCGAGUUGUUUGGGAAUGCAGCUCAAAAUGGGUGGUAAACUCCAUCUAAGGCUAAAUACUGGCGAGAGACCGAUAGCGCACAAGUAGAGUGAUCGAAAGAUGAAAAGCACUUUGAAAAGAGAGUUAAACAGUACGUGAAAUUGUUGAAAGGGAAGCGCUUGAGACCAGACUCGGUGAUUGGUGAUCAGCGGUAGCUUCUGCUCCGUGCACUUGCCUUUUACUGGGCCAGCAUCAGUUGCGACGGCAGGAUAAAGACUCAGGGAAUGUGGCUCUCUUCGGGGAGUGUUAUAGCCCUGGGUGUAAUGCUGCCUGCCGCGACUGAGGACCGCGCUUCGGCUAGGAUGCUGGCAUAAUGGUCUUCAGCGACCCGUCUUGAAACACGGACCAAGGAGUCUAACAUCUAUGCGAGUGUUCGGGUGUAAAACCCCUGCGCGUAAUGAAAGUGAACGGAGGUGGGAACUCUUUGGAGUGCACCAUCGACCGAUCCUGAUGUCUUCGGAUGGAUUUGAGUAGGAGCAUAGCUGUUGGGACCCGAAAGAUGGUGAACUAUGCCUGAAUAGGGUGAAGCCAGAGGAAACUCUGGUGGAGGCUCGCAGCGGUUCUGACGUGCAAAUCGAUCGUCAAAUUUGGGUAUAGGGGCGAAAGACUAAUCGAACCAUCUAGUAGCUGGUUCCUGCCGA
rnacentral:rRNA from 1 species